rnacentral:misc_RNA from 1 species
AGGGGCGAGGCCAUGCACCGUAGGUGUCUCGUUUAGGAGUACUGCCAUUUGGCUGGGAGAGAGCCGAAACCCAAGAAGGAAUACCAUACUAUAAGAAUCACAGCAAUGGAAGAACACAAUGGGAACAUCCAGUACUGACAGUACUAUUCAAGGAACUAAGGACACUAGAUGUCAUUUGACCAGCUUAUGGUGCAUACAGAGUAGCUAGCAAACUGACGAAACUUCAAGUCAUUACAAAUUUGCAUAAAGUGAGCAAGGAGAAUGUAUGGAAGUCAUUGAAAGAUAUGAAUCUAACUGAUCAAAUGGAGAGUAAUCUCAGUGUCUCAGAGAUAGAGACUCUCUUUGCUAAGAUUUUUUACAAAACAUGCGAACAAAAUAAAUUGGAAGCAAAUGAAGCUAAGGCCUCCAUUGAGAUAUCCUUGAGUUGGGCCUUGAAAUGCUAUGACAGUGGUAGGACUGGUCGUGUCUUAUUAAGAUCUCUUCUUGCUGGUUUCCUUAUACUAACCACAUCUUCUAUCAUCAGAAAAUACAAAGAUAGAUUUGUUUAAAUUGUAUGCUAUCAAUGGUCACAUGACUAAUGAGAAACUGGCUUUCUUGCUAAGUGAUGUCCUAUUGUUGAUUGAUACUAUUGAUGAGCAAGAAAUGUUCAAUGGUGACGACAUACCAGGGACCAUUGCUUCAUUGAAAUCGUUGUUUCAAAAUAGUGAGGAUAUUGCUGAAAGACAAUUUAUUGAAUGGCUCAAGAAAGAACCACAGCUGAUAGUGUGGCUGCCUACACUGUAUUUAUA